GCUCAGAUUGAACGCUGGCGGCAGGCCUAACACAUGCAAGUCGAGCGGUAACAUUUCUAGCUUGCUAGAAGAUGACGAGCGGCGGACGGGUGAGUAAUGCUUGGGAAUAUGCCUUAGGGUGGGGGACAACAGUUGGAAACGACUGCUAAUACCGCAUAACGUCUACGGACCAAAGGGGGCUUCGGCUCUCGCCCUUAGAUUAGCCCAAGUGGGAUUAGCUAGUUGGUGAGGUAAUGGCUCACCAAGGCGACGAUCCCUAGCUGGUUUGAGAGGAUGAUCAGCCACACUGGAACUGAGACACGGUCCAGACUCCUACGGGAGGCAGCAGUGGGGAAUAUUGCACAAUGGGCGCAAGCCUGAUGCAGCCAUGCCGCGUGUGUGAAGAAGGCCUUAGGGUUGUAAAGCACUUUCAGUAAGGAGGAAAGGUUAGUAGUUAAUACCUGCUAG
rnacentral:rRNA from 2 species